UGCCAGACUCCUACGGGAGGCAGCAGUGGGGAAUAUUGGGCAAUGGGCGCAAGCCUGACCCAGCAAUGCCGCGUGAAUGAAGAAGGUCUUAGGAUUGUAAAAUUCUGUCCUAUGGGAAGAAACAAAUGACGGUACCCAAAGAGGAAGCUCCGGCUAACUACGUGCCAGCAGCCGCGGUAAUACGUAGGGAGCGAGCGUUGUCCGGAAUUACUGGGUGUAAAGGGAGCGUAGGCGGGCGAGAAAGUUGAAUGUUAAAUCUACCGGCUUAACUGGUAGCUGCGUUCAAAACUUCUUGUCUUGAGUGAAGUAGAGGCAGGCGGAAUUCCUAGUGUAGCGGUGAAAUGCGUAGAUAUUAGGAGGAACACCAGUGGCGAAGGCGGCCUGCUGGGCUUUAACUGACGUUGAGGCUCGAAAGCGUGGGGAGCAAACAGGAUUAGAUACCCUAGUA
rnacentral:rRNA from 1 species